UUGUUUUAUUGAAAUCCUGCCAUCUUUCCAUUUAUACCACAGCCAAGGUGACUCAAUUAGAAUGGCGAUGUCUCUUCUGCUUGGAGGACAACCCUCUAUCUGAAGGAGUCUUCUUUGGUGAAAAGCUGCCUUCAACAGUGAGCACUCGAACAACAGAAUGAGCAGGCAUGCAGGCCGCCUGGUCACGAUCUUCCUCACAAUGUGAAUGCCAGAAAUAAAGAAAGAAAAAGAA